UACGUAGGGGGCGAGCGUUGUCCGGAGUUACUGGGCGUAAAGGGCAUGCAGGCGGUCCGACACGUUUUGUGUGACAGCGGGUGGCUUAACUACCCGAGGAUGCGAAAGACGGUUGGACUUGAGGACUCGAGAGGGACACGGAAUUCCGGGUGGAGUGGUGAAAUGCGGUAGAGAUCCGGAGGAACACCGAAGGCGAAGGCAGUGUCCUGGCGAGUGACUGACGCUGGAGGUGCGAAGCCAGGGAGCGAACGGGA
rnacentral:rRNA from 1 species